rnacentral:rRNA from 1 species
UCCCAGACUCCUACGGGAGGCAGCAGUGGGGGAUAUUGCACAAUGGGGGAAACCCUGAUGCAGCGACGCCGCGUGUGGGAAGACGGUCUUCUGGAUUGUAAACCACUGUCCCCAGGGACGAAAAUGACGGUACCUGGGGAGGAAGCUCCGGCUAACUACGUGCCAGCAGCCGCGGUAAUACGUAGGGGGCAAGCGUUAUCCGGAUUUACUGGGUGUAAAGGGAGCGUAGACGGUGAAGCAAGUCUGAAGUGAAAGGCGGGGGCUCAACCCCCGGACUGCUUUGGAAACUGUUUGACUGGAGUGCAGGAGAGGUAAGUGGAAUUCCUAGUGUAGCGGUGAAAUGCGUAGAUAUUAGGAGGAACACCAGUGGCGAAGGCGGCUUACUGGACUGUAACUGACGUUGAGGCUCGAAAGCGUGGGGAGCAAACAGGAUUAGAUACCCCCGUAA